CACGUAGGGGGCAAGCGUUGUCCGGAUUUAUUGGGCGUAAAGAGCUCGUAGGCGGUUCGGUAAGUCGGGUGUGAAACCUCCAGGCUCAACCUGGAGACGCCACCCGAUAACUGCUGUGACUAGAGUCCGGUAGGGGAGCGUGGAAUUCCUGGUGUAGCGGUGAAAUGACGCAGAUAUCAGGAGGAACACCAGCGGCGAAGGCGGCGCUCUGGGCCGGAACUGACGCUGAGGAGCGAAAGCGUGGGGAGCAAACAGG
rnacentral:rRNA from 1 species